CACGUGUUACAAUUGUGUCGCUAAAAAAAAAAAGCCGGAGAAGUCUUUUGUUUCUCCAUCUCUCUUCUUUGUGUCUUCUCCAUCUCUCGUCUAUGUGUCUCUCCCGGUGAAGGCUAUGCAGCUGACUGGAAUCGGGAAUAGGAAUUACUCGGUAAAGCCAUUGAUCGGAGGUCAGUUUGGGAUCUCUGUUCCAAGUCAAAACCGGAGAAGAUGGUUCUUUCCUCUGUCUCAUUCUUCCCAUCAAAAAAAGUUUUGUCUUUUUUCUCAAAAUCACAUUAAAGAAUCGUUUUUGUGUUUGGUUAUAGAUUUGAUUGAAUUGAUGUUAUGGUAAUUCCAGAAAGUAGCAGAGUUAAUUUUAUAUACGAUGUUACAGAAACGUUCGAGAACUUAUUGACAAUAAUGAAUCUCAAAACCUCACUGCUGAAGGGAUUGAAGCUAUGCAGAUGUUUGAACAAGACUUAACUUCUCUGGGUGUUUAUAUAUAGAAGAAUCUGUUAAUUGCUAAUGUGAGAUUAUUGAAGCACUGAUUGUUAUGUGUAGAGAGGGUGCAAAAGGGGAUGAGAUUACUGAAGAUAUGAUUGCAAACAGCAAAACAUUAGCGUUUAAUCUUUUCUUCAGUAAAAAUAUCUCCUUAAAGCAGAAGAAGUAUGCGCCAAAGGUGUUUCUAAGACGCCCUUUUGCUGGAAGUAUCUGCGAAGCCUAUUUGAAGAAAUAUCCAGCCAUGAUCAAGCGUGCUCCCUUUUGUUAACAAUGGCUACUGUCACUGCAUACUCGGAUGUGCUUAUGGUGGAUAUGGUUGGUGGUCUUGUCACUGGUGCAGUGGCUGAACGUCUAGGAGGCGCUGGUUAUGUUUGCAAUACAUAAAAGGAAGAUUCUCCUUCCUUCCUCUGUGGAUAUGGUUAGGAUGUUCAACUUUACUGACAAGGUUAAAGAGGGGGAGCAAGAUGAUUACGAGAACAUCAACGAGAUGUGCGUUAUCAAGAUGCUUGAGCCUGUCAUGAAGAAGAAGAUGAAAUGGGAUCAUGCCUGAGGGAGGUGGAAAGGGAGAGAUCCGGCGGAGAAGCCAUUGUAGAGAGCUUGAAUGGAGCCGUCAACGUCGUUUGGAUUAUGGUGAGGGAGAGGAACCGUCGUGAUCUGGUUUCUGGCGUCAGAGGCGGGUGAAGGACCGUCGUCGAGGAUGGAGAGAGGCCAAGGAGCGGAGGAGAAGAUGUGGUGGAGGAAGUCAUCAUGGUCAAAAGUGGCUGGAGACUGGAGAUGAGGAGAAGAAGAAGAAGAUGAAGAUGAAGAAGGGGCUUUUUGCAAAAGUGACUCAAAACUUGGAGUCAAACAGAAAACUAACCUUUUCUUUUGACUCCUUUUUUUUUUGAGAUUUUAACCUCACACCUGCACUUUAUCUACGAAAAUGCCAUUAACAUUUUUUUUUUUUUUUUUCGAAAAUGGCUUCUUUACUGUCUCAACCUCAUCUUCUUCAAGUAUUUACAAUACUGCCACUGCAAUGAAUAGUGGCAACAACCUUGUACGAACUGUUUGGAGCUUUUAAUGCCCUUUAAUGCACGUAAAUCUCUU